AAUGAACGUUGGCGGCGUGGAUUAGGCAUGCGAGUCGUGCGAGAACCGUAGCAAUACGGGGACAGCGGCGAAAGGGAGAGGAACACGUGGAUACCUACCCUCAGGUUCAGGAUAGCUAUGGGAAACUAUAGGUAAUACUGAAUAAUAUCUCCGGAUCAAAGGUGUGAUUCCGCCGGAGGAGGGGUCCGCGUCCUAUUAGCUAGUUGGUGAGGUAAUGGCUCACCAAGGCGAAGAUGGGUACGGGAUGUGAGAACAUGAUCCCGCUCAUUGGGACUGAGACACUGCCCAGACACCUACGGGUGGCUGCAGUCGAGAAUCUUCGGCAAUGGGGAAACCCUGACCGAGCGACGCCGCGUGUGAGAUGAAGGCCU
rnacentral:rRNA from 1 species